GGCUUUUCAAAUCCGUGCUGAGAUUUCGUCAGACACCAGCCCAUUAUGGCUGAUCAGAAUUCCAAGAUAAGUGAAGGU
rnacentral:pre_miRNA from 1 species